UAGGGAAUCUUCGGCAAUGGGGGGAACCCUGACCGAGCAACGCCGCGUGAGUGAAGAAGGUUUUCGGAUCGUAAAGCUCUGUUGUUAAGGAAGAACGAGUGUGAGAAUGGAAAGUUCAUACUGUGACGGUACUUAACCAGAAAGGGACGGCUAACUACGUGCCAGCAGCCGCGGUAAUACGUAGGUGGCAAGCGUUGUCCGGAUUUAUUGGGCGUAAAGCGAGCGCAGGCGGUCAAUUAAGUCUGAUGUGAAAGCCCCCGGCUCAACCGGGGAGGGUCAUUGGAAACUGGUUGACUUGAGUGCAGAAGAGGAGAGUGGAAUUCCAUGUGUAGCGGUGAAAUGCGUAGAUAUAUGGGGGAACACCAGUGGCGAAGGCGACUCUCUGGUCUGUAACUGACGAUGAGGUUCGAAAGCGUGGGUAGCAAACAGG
rnacentral:rRNA from 1 species